rnacentral:rRNA from 1 species
UACGUAGGGUCCGAGCGUUGUCCGGAAUUACUGGGCGUAAAGAGCUCGUAGGUGGUUUGUCGCGUUGUCCGUGAAAACUCACAGCUCAACUGUGGGCGUGCGGGCGAUACGGGCAGACUGGAGGUAUGCAGGGGAGAACGGAAUUCCUGGUGUAGCGGUGAAAUGCGCAGAUAUCAGGAGGAACACCGGUGGCGAAGGCGGUUCUCUGGGCAUGUCCUGACGCUGAGGAGCGAAAGCAUGGGGAGCGAACAGG